rnacentral:rRNA from 1 species
UUCCGGUUGAUCCUGCCGGAGGUUACUGCUAUCGAGGUUCGACUAAGCCAUGCGAGUCGAAUGUAGCAAUACAUGGCGUACUGCUCAGUAACACGUGGACAACCUACCCUUAGGACGGGGAUAAACCCGGGAAACUGGGUAUAAUACCCGAUAGAUCUCGGCUGCUGGAAUGCAUCGAGAUCUAAAGCUCCGGCGCCUAAGGAUGGGUCUGCGGCCUAUCAGGUAGUAGUGGGUGUAGUGUACCUACUAGCCUACGACGGGUACGGGUUGUGAGAGCAAGAGCCCGGAGAUGGAUUCUGAGACACGAAUCCAGGCCCCACGGGGUGCAGCAGGCGCGAAAACUUUACAAUGCUGGCAACAGCGAUAAGGGGACCUCGAGUGCCAGGUUACAAAUCUGGCUGUCGUGAUGCCUAAAAAGCAUUGCAUAGCAAGGGCCGGGCAAGACCGGUGCCAGCCGCCGCGGUAACACCGGCGGCUCGAGUGGUAACCGUUAUUAUUGGGUCUAAAGGGUCUGUAGCCGGCCGGAUAAGUCUCUUGGGAAAUCCAGCAGCUCAACUGUUGGGCUUUCAGGAGAUACUGUCUGGCUCGAGGCCGGGAGAGGUGAGAGGUACUUCAGGGGUAGGGGUGAAAUCUUGUAAUCCUUGAAGGACCACCAGUGGCGAAGGCGUCUCACCAGAACGGACCUGACGGCAAGGGACGAAAGCUAGGGGCACGAACCGGAUUAGAUACCCGGGUAGUCCUAGCCGUAAACGAUACUCGCUAGGUGUCGGCCACGGUGCGACCGUUGUCGGUGCCGUAGGGAAGCCGUGAAGCGAGCCACCUGGGAAGUACGGCCGCAAGGCUGAAACUUAAAGGAAUUGGCGGGGGAGCACCACAACGGGUGGAGCUUGCGGUUUAAUUGGAUUCAACGCCGGA